AGUCGAACGAACUCUGGUAUUGAUUGGUGCUUGCAUCAUGAUUUACAUUUGAGUGAGUGGCGAACUGGUGAGUAACACGUGGGAAACCUGCCCAGAAGCGGGGGAUAACACCUGGAAACAGAUGCUAAUACCGCAUAACAACUUGGACCGCAUGGUCCGAGUUUGAAAGAUGGCUUCGGCUAUCACUUUUGGAUGGUCCCGCGGCGUAUUAGCUAGAUGGUGAGGUAACGGCUCACCAUGGCAAUGAUACGUAGCCGACCUGAGAGGGUAAUCGGCCACAUUGGGACUGAGACACGGCCCAAACUCCUACGGGAGGCAGCAGUAGGGAAUCUUCCACAAUGGACGAAAGUCUGAUGGAGCAACGCCGCGUGAGUGAAGAAGGGUUUCGGCUCGUAAAACUCUGUUGUUAAAGAAGAACAUAUCUGAGAGUAACUGUUCAGGUAUUGACGGUAUUUAACCAGAAAGCCACGGCUAACUACGUGCCAGCAGCCGCGGUAAUACGUAGGUGGCAAGCGUUGUCCGGAUUUAUUGGGCGUAAAGCGAGCGCAGGCGGUUUUUUAAGUCUGAUGUGAAAGCCUUCGGCUCAACCGAAGAAGUGCAUCGGAAACUGGGAAACUUGAGUGCAGAAGAGGACAGUGGAACUCCAUGUGUAGCGGUGAAAUGCGUAGAUAUAUGGAAGAACACCAGUGGCGAAGGCGGCUGUCUGGUCUGUAACUGACGCUGAGGCUCGAAAGUAUGGGUAGCAAACAGGAUUAGAUACCCUGGUAGUCCAUACCGUAAACGAUGAAUGCUAAGUGUUGGAGGGUUUCCGCCCUUCAGUGCUGCAGCUAACGCAUUAAGCAUUCCGCCUGGGGAGUACGGCCGCAAGGCUGAAACUCAAAGGAAUUGACGGGGGCCCGCACAAGCGGUGGAGCAUGUGGUUUAAUUCGAAGCUACGCGAAGAACCUUACCAGGUCUUGACAUACUAUGCAAAUCUAAGAGAUUAGACGUUCCCUUCGGGGACAUGGAUACAGGUGGUGCAUGGUUGUCGUCAGCUCGUGUCGUGAGAUGUUGGGUUAAGUCCCGCAACGAGCGCAACCCUUAUUAUCAGUUGCCAGCAUUAAGUUGGGCACUCUGGUGAGACUGCCGGUGACAAACCGGAGGAAGGUGGGGAUGACGUCAAAUCAUCAUGCCCCUUAUGACCUGGGCUACACACGUGCUACAAUGGAUGGUACAACGAGUUGCGAACUCGCGAGAGUAAGCUAAUCUCUUAAAGCCAUUCUCAGUUCGGAUUGUAGGCUGCAACUCGCCUACAUGAAGUCGGAAUCGCUAGUAAUCGCGGAUCAGCAUGCCGCGGUGAAUACGUUCCCGGGCCUUGUACACACCGCCCGUCACACCAUGAGAGUUUGUAACACCCAAAGUCGGUGGGGUAACCUUUUAGGAACCAGCCGCCUAAGGUGGGACAGAUGAUUAGGG
rnacentral:rRNA from 2 species